rnacentral:rRNA from 1 species
GUAGGUGGUUUGUUAAGUAGGUAGUGAAAUCUGGCGGCUCAACCGUACAGGCUAUUACCUAAACUGGCAAACUCGAGAAUGGUAGAGGUCACUGGAAUUUCUAGUGUAGGAGUGAAAUCCGUAGAUAUUAGAAGGAACACCAAUGGCGUAGGCAGGUGACUGGACCAUUUCUGACACUGAGGCACGAAAGCGUGGGGAGCGAACCGGAUUAGAUACCCGGGUAGUCCACGCUGUAAACGAUGGAUACUGGCUGUUUGGGGUAUCGACCCCCCAAGUAGCGAAGCUAACGCGUUAAGUAUCCCGCCUGUGGAGUACGGUCGCAAGACUAAAACAUAAAGGAAUUGACGGGGACCCGCACAAGCGGUGGAUCGUGUUCUUUAAUUCGAUGAUAAACGGAGAACCUUACCAGGGCUUGACAUCCAGGGAAGCACUGCGAAAGCAGCGUGUGCCUUUUGGAACCCUGUGACAGGUGUUGCAUGGCCGUCGUCAGCUCGUGUCGUGAGAUGUUUGGUUAAGUCCAUCAACGAGCGCGACCCUUGUGAAUAGUUGUAUUUUUCUAUUCAAACUGCCCCGGCAACGGGGAGGAAGGAGGGGAUGAUGUCAGGUCAGUAUUACCCUUACGUCCUGGGCUAGAAACACGAUACAAUGGCUAGUACAAUGCGCAGCAAAGCCGCGAGGUGGAGCAAAUCGCAUCAAAGCUAGUCCCAGUUCGGAUUGGAGGCUGAAACUCGCCUCCAUGAAGUCGGAAUCGCUAGUAAUCGCAAAUCAGCAAGUUGCGGUGAAUACGUUCCCGGGUCUUGUACACACCGCCCGUCAAACCAUGAAAGUGACCAACACCCGAAGUCCGAUUCGUCGACCUAAGGUGGGGGGCAUGAUUGGGGUC